CUAAGGAGCAUCUCCAGUGAGUGUCCCGAACAGUCGGGUCGCUGCUGGCAGAGCCGUUCAUGUCCUCGAAUGUGGGACUGCGGUGCUCAUGGGUGGAACGCUGACAGUUUCUUCGUAUCGACGGUAGCCCUGUGUGGUCGCCGGGCGGGGAUAUAUCGACACACUGUUGGGUCCUGAAAGAACAGGCGUUCUUUCCAGGCAAAAAAUACGAUCUGCUCGGAUCUCUGGUGAUACCGGCUCCUUCGGGGGUGCUGGUCCUGGGUUCUGGUUCGGGUGGGUGUGUUGUUUGAGAACUGCACAGUGGACGCGAGCAUCUUUGUUUGUAAGUGUUGAAGAGCGUUC
rnacentral:misc_RNA from 1 species